GAAAAUUGCAACACCGUUCAAAGCACAAUGGUUGUACUUUGAACGGUGUUGCUGUUGUU
rnacentral:miRNA from 1 species